CUCGUAAUUGAUACAGAGGAGGAGCUCAUUCCCAUUGAUUCGGGGGAAGAGGAGCCAGAUUAUAUAAUUAUUGACAGUGAGGAUGAAAAACCCUCUCCCCAACUUGGCCCUACACUGUCACAGGCGGUGGCGGAGGAGGAGGAGGAGGACCAGGACUCUCUGUCCCUCACCACACUGCACCCAUUAAGCCCUACACUGGAACAGGCCACGGAGGAGGAGGAGGAUGAUGAUGAUGCUGCUGCAUUUAGUGACGACGAGCCAGAAUACAUUUUUGUCCGUCGCCAACCAGUGGAGGAGACACCUGUGCCAAUUAUUUAUGGGGGCCCUAGACAGGGGCAAGAUAGGUGGGCUGGCCCAGAAGCGGGCAGGCAGCAGCCCACUUAUACAAGAGAACAGUUGCAGCGUGCCAUCCAGCUCCAGCGGGUGGUGGUCCACCUCCUAGUGGACCACUAUUUUAAUAUUUUAUUA